GACGAACGCUGGCGGCGUGCUUAACACAUGCAAGUCGAACGGAAAGGCCCUGCUUUUGUGGGGUGCUCGAGUGGCGAACGGGUGAAUAACACGUGAGUAACCUGCCCUUGACUUUGGGAUAACUUCAGGAAACUGGGGCUAAUACCGGAUAGGAGCUCCUGCUGCAUGGUGGGGGUUGGAAAGUUUCGGCGGUUGGGGAUGGACUCGCGGCUUAUCAGCUUGUUGGUGGGGUAGUGGCUUACCAAGGCUUUGACGGGUAGCCGGCCUGAGAGGGUGACCGGCCACAUUGGGACUGAGAUACGGCCCAGACUCCUACGGGGGGCAGCAGUGGGGAAUAUUGCACAAUGGGCGGAAGCCUGAUGCAGCAACGCCGCGUGCGGGAUGACGGCCUUCGGGUUGUAAACCGCUUUCGCCUGUGACGAAGCGUGAGUGACGGUAAUGGGUAAAGAAGCACCGGCUAACUACGUG
rnacentral:rRNA from 1 species